rnacentral:rRNA from 1 species
UCCUUAGAUGUUCUGGGCUGCACGCGCGCUACACUGAUGCGCUCAACGAGUUGUAACCUUGCUCGGAAAGGUUGGAUAAUCUUUUUGGAACGCAUCGUGAUGGGGAUAGAUUAUUGCAAAGUACUUCCUAGUAAGCGCGAGUCAUCACGUCCCUGCCCUUUGUACACACCGCCCGUCGCUCUUACCGAUUGAGUGAUCUGGUGAAUAAUUCGGAUUGCGGCAUUGACCGGUUCCCGAUCGUUGCUGCGGGAAGUUUAGUGAACCUUAUCACUUAGAGGAAGGAGAAGUCGUAACA